rnacentral:rRNA from 1 species
AGAACGGACGCUGGCGGCAUGCCUAAUACAUGCAAGUCGAACGAACUCUUCGGAGUUAGUGGCGCACGGGUGCGUAACGCGUGGGAAUCUGCCCUUGGGUUCGGAAUAACAGUUGGAAACGACUGCUAAUACCGGAUGAUGACGAAAGUCCAAAGAUUUAUCGCCCAGGGAUGAGCCCGCGUAGGAUUAGCUAGUUGGUGAGGUAAAGGCUCACCAAGGCGACGAUCCUUAGCUGGUCUGAGAGGAUGAUCAGCCACACUGGGACUGAGACACGGCCCAGACUCCUACGGGAGGCAGCAGUAGGGAAUAUGGACAAUGGGCGAAAGCCUGAUCCAGCAAAUGCCGCGUGAGUGAUGAAGGCCUUAGGGUUGUAAAGCUCUUUUUACCCGAGAUGAUAAUGACAGUAUCGGAGAAUAAGCCCCGCUAAACUCCGUGCCCAGCAAGCCGC